AGCGAACGCUGGCGGCGUGCCUAACACAUGCCAGUCGAACGUGAAAGGGAGCAAUCCCCAGUAAAGUGGCGUACGGGUGAGUAACACGUAGGUAAUCUACCCCAGAAUCUGGAAUAACCGGCCGAAAGGCUGGCUAAUACUGGAUAGAGCGACGGAAUCCGUAAUUGGGUUUUUCGGGAAAGGGAGCCUGUAAAAAGGCCUUCGUUCUGGGAUGAGCCUGCGUCCCAUCAGCUAGUUGGUGAGGUAAAAGCUUACCAAGGCAAUGACGGGUAGCUGGUCUGAGAGGACGAUCAGCCACACUGGAACUGAAACACGGGCCAGACUCCUACGGGAGGCAGCAGUGGGGAAUCUUGCGCAAUGGACGAAAGUCUGACGCAGCAACGCCGCGUGAGUGAAGAAGGCCUUCGGGUUGUAAAGCUCUGUCGAGUGGGACGAAAAUGCUUGGAGUUCACAGCUCCAGGAACUGACGGUACCACUAAAGGAAGCACCGGCUAACUCCGUG
rnacentral:rRNA from 1 species